rnacentral:rRNA from 1 species
CCUACGUGAGGCAGCAGUGAGGAAUAUUGGUCACUGGGCGCGAGCCUGCACCAGCCAAGUCGCGUGAGGGAAGACGGUCCUAUGGAUUGUAAACCUCUUUUGUCGGGGAGCAAAAGACGCCACGCGUGGCGUUCCGAGAGUACCAGCAGAAAAAGCAUCGGCUAACUCCGUGCCAGCAGCCGCGGUAAUACGGAGGAUGCGAGCGUUAUCCGGAUUUAUUGGGGUUAAAGGGUGCGCAGGCGGAAGAUCAAGUCAGCGGUAAAAUUGAGAGGCUCAACCUCUUAGAGCCGUUGAAACUGGUUUUCUUGAGUGAGCGAGAAGUAUGCGGAAUGCGUGGUGUAGCGGUGAAAUGCAUAGAUAUCACGCAGAACUCCGAUUGCGAAGGCAGCAUACCGGCGCUCAACUGACGCUCAUGCACGAAAGUGUGGGUAUCGAACAGGAUUAGAUACCCUUGUAGUC